CCUACGGGAGGCAGCAGUGGGGGAUAUUGGACAAUGGGGGGAACCCUGAUCCAGCGACGCCGCGUGAGUGAAGAAGUAUCUCGGUAUGUGAAGCUCUAUCAGCAGGGAAGAAGAAAUGACGGUACCUGAGUAAGAAGCCCCGGCUAACUACGUGUCAGCAGCCGCGGUAAUACGUAGGGGGCAAGCGUUAUCCGGAAUUACUGGGUGUAAAGGGAGCGUAGACGGCGAUGCAAGUCUGAAGUGAAAGGCGGGGGCCCAACCCCCGGACUGCUUUGGAAACUGUAUGGCUGGAGUGCAGGAGAGGUAAGUGGAAUUCCUAGUGUAGCGGUGAAAUGCGUAGAUAUUAGGAGGAACACCAGUGGCGAAGGCGGCUUACUGGACUGUAACUGACGUUGAGGCUCGAAAGCGUGGGGAGCAAACAGGAUUAGAUACCCCAGUAGUC
rnacentral:rRNA from 1 species